CCAGACUCCUACGGGAGGCAGCAGUGGGGAAUCUUCCGCAAUGGACGAAAGUCUGACGGAGCAACGCCGCGUGAGUGAUGACGGCCUUCGGGUUGUAAAGCUCUGUUAAUCGGGACGAAAGGCCUUCUUGCGAAUAGUGAGAAGGAUUGACGGUACCGGAAUAGAAAGCCACGGCUAACUACGUGCCAGCAGCCGCGGUAAUACGUAGGUGGCAAGCGUUGUCCGGAAUUAUUGGGCGUAAAGCGCGCGCAGGCGGAUAGGUCAGUCUGUCUUAAAAGUUCGGGGCUUAACCCCGUGAUGGGAUGGAAACUGCCAAUCUAGAGUAUCGGAGAGGAAAGUGGAAUUCCUAGUGUAGCGGUGAAAUGCGUAGAUAUUAGGAAGAACACCAGUGGCGAAGGCGACUUUCUGGACGAAAACUGACGCUGAGGCGCGAAAGCCAGGGGAGCGAACGGGAUUAGAUACCCCGGUAGUCCUGGCCGUAAACGAUGGGUACUAGGUGUAGGAGGUAUCGACCCCUUCUGUGCCGGAGUUAACGCAAUAAGUACCCCGCCUGGGGAGUACGACCGCAAGGUUGAAACUCAAAGGAAUUGACGGGGCCCGACAG
rnacentral:rRNA from 1 species